rnacentral:tRNA from 1 species
GGAGAGGUGACCGAGUUGGCUUAAGGUGCGCGCCUGCUAAGCGUGUGUGGGGUUAAUAGCUUCACCCAGGGUUCGAAUCCCUGCCUCUCCGCCA